AGAUAUACCAUGUAUGAACAAAAGGGGCCACAUGAAAAUCUGACAAGCUCGGGAAGGCCUGCAUGGCCGUCUUGCAAACUCAGAGACCUAAAGUAACCACAAAGGAUGGUCUGAAAUUAAACUUUAACUAAAAGAAGUUAUGGUGGGUA